rnacentral:rRNA from 1 species
CCUUGAUGACGACUGGCGCACGGGUGAGUAACGCGUAUCCAACCUUCCCAUAACUACGGGAUAACCCGUUGAAAGACGGCCUAAUACCGUAUGAUAUCGUUUGCUGACAUCAAAUAACGAUUAAAGGUUUAGCGGUUAUGGAUGGGGAUGCGUCUGAUUAGCUUGUUGGCGGGGUAACGGCCCACCAAGGCUACGAUCAGUAGGGGUUCUGAGAGGAAGGUCCCCCACAUUGGAACUGAGACACGGUCCAAACUUCUACGGGAGGCAGCAGUC